GUAGAUGUAGGUUAAUCACACACUGGGUAGUAAAAUCACUAAGAUUUGUUUGAAAACAAUGACAUAACCAUUAUAACGGGAAUCCAGUCCAUCAAUUGCAACACAAAUACCUGUCCAAAAUUUUAUUGUUUUUAUAAGGCAGAAACAGGAAAUCACUUUCCGCCUGAACGCACACACAUCCCAGGUUAACAGUAAAGGGUGUCUAAAGAGGUCAUGAUUAGUCCGUGCUGUGAUGACACUGAUGUUUGUUUAAGAUAAAAAGUUUAUGUGUGUGUUUUGACCAGCAGACAUUUUUAUUUUGCUCCUGCAAGCAUUAUUUUGUUAUCUGUCUGUUGAACAUCAUUAGACAUAUUACGAUUUCGUUUAAACACUGUUAAAUACUAAGGGGUAGCAUCAACUUUAUAUUAUCACUGAAAAUUUUCCCAACUUUUCAUGGCCUUCCCCAUGAAUAAAGGAAUAGAGUAGAUUCCUAUAAAUUGAUUCAGAAUUUUCCCACGACAUCGAAUGCAUGCGAAGAAAAGGGGGGUGGGGUGGGGGAGGGGUGGUGGCAUUGUUUGUUAUUAUGAGAUGGGGUCACCAUAUUUAUUCACAUAUUUGAUAAAUAGACAUGCUGUUAACAAAGAACAGUACUGCUAUUUCCAUCUGUAUGUUUUCCCAGUACUAGCCUAUCUCUCAUCGUAAUUUAUAACAGCACAUAGCUAUAAGGACUGUGUUUUAAACUUUGGGAAACAUGUUUUAUUUCAAAAAGAUGUUAUAAUUUUUGGUUUUACAUAUUCAUCAAUUGUAAAAAUGCAUUGGUAUUUAAAUUCAUUUAGUUUUUAAAAUUCCCUCAAAUUAUUCAAAAUGGCGGCUCUUGAGACCGGAAAUGCCAAGUUUUGAUGAUCGGUUAAUAAACUAACAGGUUGUAAGGAAAGAAAGUAUUACUAAAAUUUGUUUCAUUUAAAUGCAGAAUUCUUAAGAUAAUAUUAAGUAAAUAAUAUUGUUUUUUAACUAAAAUAAAUUUAAAGAUUUAUCCCGGUAUUAAUCGUGGCUGUAUCGUGAUUGGUCAAAAUUUCAAACUUGGACUUUCGUGAAUUCUGAUUGGACAAUUGCCAUUCCGCCAUCAAAUUUUGAAAUGGGCAAAGAAGACAGGAGUUGUUGUGAAGAUUUUCCAGAUUUUUUCAAGAAAUGUGCAGAAUCACAGCGUGUUGUAUGUAGUAAUGAAACUGCAAGCAGUGGUUUCAUAAAGAUAGACAUGCUUAAGACCUGGAUGAUAUGGCUUUAGUUGUGGAUGACCAUUUCCAUUCAGGAAAAAAUCCCAACCAAGUCCAGCUAGCAGACUGUACACCAGAUUGAAGAUACAUCAUUAAUACAAGAUGAAAAAAGAUUAAUGGAGGACGAGGAUAAUACUAUGAAAGAGCAAGAGCAACCGUUCCCAUAGAAAUACAUGCAGCCAUGUCAACAGAAACCAGUUUUCACCUGCCAGGUGCUGGUCACAUUUAUAUUCAACAUGGGAACAGAUUCAAGAAACAGAUCCAGUUGUUUGCUGAUAAAUUACUGCAGGUCAUUGGUAUCAUCUAGAACCAGGACUGUUUUAAAAAUCAUUCUAGUAUAUUUGGAACAAAAUCAUGCUAGUAUAUGUUAGGAAUUUAA